rnacentral:tRNA from 3 species
GGAGAGGUGGCCGAGUGGUUUAAGGCACUAGUCUUGAAAACUGGCAUACCGCAAGGUAUCGAGGGUUCGAAUCCCUCCCUCUCCG